rnacentral:rRNA from 1 species
GAUGAACGCUGGCGGCGUGCCUAACACAUGCAAGUCGAGCGAACAGACGAUGAGCUUGCUGCUCUGACGUUAGCGGCGGACGGGUGAGUAACACGUGGAUAACCUCCCUAUAAUACUGGGAUAACUUCGGGAAACCGGAGCUAAUACCGGAUAAUAUAUUGCUCCACAUGGUUCAUUAGUUAAUGACGGUUUUUCUGUCACUUAUAGAUGGUUCUGCGCCGGAUUAGCUAGUUGGGACGGUAACGGCUUACCAAGGCAACGAUGCGUAGACGAGCUGAGAGGGGGGUAGGCCCCACUGGAACGGAGACACGGUCCAGACUACUACGGGAGGCAGCAGUAGGGAAUCGUACGCAGUGGGCGAAAGCAUGACGCAGCAAGGCCAAGUGAGUGACGAAAGUCCUCGGAUCGUAAAGCUCUGUUAUUAGGGAAGAACAAAUGUGUAAGUAACUAGGGACGGCUUGACGGUACCAAAUCAAAAAGCACCGGCUAACUACGUG